rnacentral:rRNA from 1 species
GACGAACGCUGGCGGCGUGCCUAAUACAUGCAAGUCGAACGCAGUGGGGACGGGUGAGUAACACGUGGGUAACCUCCCAUCAGAGGGGAUAACACUUGGAAACAGGUGCUAAACCGAUACUGAUGGAUGAACCCGCGGUGCAUUAGCUAGUGGGGGAGGUAACGGCUCACCAAGGCCACGAGGCAUAGCGGGCCUGAGAGGGGGACCGGCCACACGGGGACUGAGACACGGCCCAGACUCCUACGGGAGGCAGCAGUAGGGAAUCUUUGGAAAUGGACGAAAGUCUGACCGAGCAACGCCGCGUGAGUGAAGAAGGUUUUCGGUUCGUAAAACUCUGUUGUUGGAGAGGCGGUAUCUGACCAGAAAGCAACGGCUAACUCCGUGCCAGCAGCCGCGGUAAUAC